CCUACGGGGGGCUGCAGUGGGGGAUAUUGCACAAUGGGGGGAACCCUGAUGCAGCGACGCCGCGUGGGUGAAGAAGCGCCUCGGCGCGUAAAGCCCUGUCAGCAGGGAAGAAAAUGACGGUACCUGAAGAAGAAGCCCCGGCUAACUACGUGCCAGCAGCCGCGGUAAUACGUAGGGGGCAAGCGUUAUCCGGAUUUACUGGGUGGAAAGGGGGCGCAGACGGCGAUGCAAGCCAGGAGUGAAAGCCCGGGGCCCAACCCCGGGACUGCUCUUGGAACUGCGUGGCUGGAGUGCAGGAGGGGCAGGCGGAAUGCCUGGUGUAGCGGUGAAAUGCGUAGAUAUCAGGAGGAACACCGGUGGCGAAGGCGGCCUGCUGGACUGCAACUGACGUUGAGGCCCGAAAGCGUGGGGAGCAAACAGGAUUAGAUACCCUGGUAGUC
rnacentral:rRNA from 1 species